UACGUAGGGUGCGAGCGUUGUCCGGAAUUAUUGGGCGUAAAGAGCUCGUAGGCGGUUUGUUGCGUCGGCCGUGAAAACCUGCAGCUUAACUGUGGGCCUGCGGCCGAUACGGGCAGACUUGAGUUCGGUAGGGGAGACUGGAAUUCCUGGUGUAGCGGUGAAAUGCACAGAUAUCAGGAGGAACACCGGUGGCGAAGGCGGGUCUCUGGGCCGAUACUGACGCUGAGGAGCGAAAGCGUGGGGAGCGAACAGG
rnacentral:rRNA from 1 species